rnacentral:rRNA from 1 species
AGAGUUUGAUCCUGGCUCAGAUUGAACGCUGGCGGCAGGCUUAACACAUGCAAGUCGAACGGUAGCACAGAGAGCUUGCUCUCGGGUGACGAGUGGCGGACGGGUGAGUAAUGUCUGGGAAACUGCCUGAUGGAGGGGGAUAACUACUGGAAACGGUAGCUAAUACCGCAUAACGUCGCAAGACCAAAGAGGGGGACCUUCGGGCCUCUUGCCAUCAGAUGUGCCCAGAUGGGAUUAGCUAGUAGGUGGGGUAACGGCUCACCUAGGCGACGAUCCCUAGCUGGUCUGAGAGGAUGACCAGCCACACUGGAACUGAGACACGGUCCAGACUCCUACGGGAGGCAGCAGUGGGGAAUAUUGCACAAUGGGCGCAAGCCUGAUGCAGCCAUGCCGCGUGUAUGAAGAAGGCCUUCGGGUUGUAAAGUACUUUCAGCGGGGAGGAAGGCGGUGAGGUUAAUAACCUCAUCGAUUGACGUUACCCGCAGAAGAAGCACCGGCUAACUCCGUGCCAGCAGCCGCGGUAAUACGGAGGGUGCAAGCGUUAAUCGGAAUUACUGGGCGUAAAGCGUGCGCAGGCGGUUUUGUAAGACAGAGGUGAAAUCCCCGGGCUCAACCUGGGAACUGCCUUUGUGACUGCAAGGCUGGAGUGCGGCAGAGGGGGAUGGAAUUCCGCGUGUAGCAGUGAAAUGCGUAGAUAUGCGGAGGAACACCGAUGGCGAAGGCAAUCCCCUGGGCCUGCACUGACGCUCAUGCACGAAAGCGUGGGGAGCAAACAGGAUUA